ACACCGGCAGCUCUAGUGGUAGCUGUUUUUAUUGGGCCUAAAGCGUUCGUAGCCGGUUUGGUAAGUCACUGGUGAAAUCCUGUAGCUUAACUAUGGGAAUCGCUGGUGAUACUGUUGAACUUGAGGUCGGGAGAGGUUAGCGGUACUCCCAGGGUAGAGGUGAAAUUCUGUAAUCCUGGGAGGACCACCUGUGGCGAAGGCGGCAACUGGAACGAACCUGAGGGAAAGGGACGAAAGCAAGGGGCGCGAACCGGUUUAGAUACCCGGGUAGUCCUAGACGUAAACGAUGCGGACUUGGUGUUGGGAUGGCUUUGAGCCGCUCCGGUGCCGAAGGGAAGCUGUUAAGUCCGCCGCCUGGGAAGUACGGUCGCAAGACUGAAACUUAAAGGAAUUGGCGGGG
rnacentral:rRNA from 1 species